rnacentral:rRNA from 1 species
CAUUAACGAAUAUAAUUCGAGGGGUUGUCGCUGGCCUCGCUCGCGCGAGGCAUGUGCACGCUUCUCGUUUUUCUCUCAACUCACCUGUGCACCUAAUGUAGGAUGCCUCUCCUCCGGGAGGGGGGACCUAUGUCUUCGUAACAUCUUCGUGUAGAAAGUCUUUGAAUGUUUACUAUCAUCGAGUCGCGACUUCUAGGAGACGCGAUUCUUUGAGAUAAAAGUUAUUACAACUUUCAGCAACGGAUCUCUUGGCUCUCGCAUCGAUGAAGAACGCAGCGAAAAGCGAUAUGUAAUGUGAAUUGCAGAUCUACAGUGAAUCAUCGAAUCUUUGAACGCACCUUGCGCUCCUCGGUGUUCCGAGGAGCAUGCCUGUUUGAGUGUCAGUAAAUUCUCAACCCCUCUCGAUUAGCUUYGAGAGGGWGCUUGGAUAGUGGAGGUUGCCGGAGACUUGGAUUCGUCCGAGACUCGGGCUCUUCUGAAAUGCAUCGGCUUGCGGUCGACUUUCGACUAUGYGCGACAAGGCUUUCGGCGUGAUAAUGAUCGCCGUUCGCUGAAGCGCAUGACUGAAYGUCCCGUGCCUCUAAUAYGUCGACCGCUUAUUAUCUCUCCGGAGAGAACAGGGUCUUCCUUAUUGACUUUUGACCUCAAAUCAGGUAGGACUACCCGCUGAACUUAAGCAUAUCAAUAAGCGGAGGAAAAGAAACUAACAAGGAUUCCCCUAGUACUGCGAGUGAAGAGGGAAAA